CUUCCGUAAGGGGGACCUGCGGAAGGAUCAUUACCGAGUGCGGGUCCUUUGGGCCCAACCUCCCAUCCGUGUCUAUUGUACCCUGUUGCUUCGGCGGGCCCGCCGCUUGUCGGCCGCCGGGGGGGCGCCUCUGCCCCCCGGGCCCGUGCCCGCCGGAGACCCCAACACGAACACUGUCUGAAAGCGUGCAGUCUGAGUUGAUUGAAUGCAAUCAGUUAAAACUUUCAACAAUGGAUCUCUUGGUUCCGGCAUCGAUGAAGAACGCAGCGAAAUGCGAUAACUAAUGUGAAUUGCAGAAUUCAGUGAAUCAUCGAGUCUUUGAACGCACAUUGCGCCCCCUGGUAUUCCGGGGGGCAUGCCUGUCCGAGCGUCAUUGCUGCCCUCAAGCCCGGCUUGUGUGUUGGGUCGCCGUCCCCCUCUCCGGGGGGACGGGCCCGAAAGGCAGCGGCGGCACCGCGUCCGAUCCUCGAGCGUAUGGGGCUUUGUCACAUGCUCUGUAGGAUUGGCCGGCGCCUGCCGACGUUUUCCAACCAUUCUUUCCAGGUUGACCUCGGAUCAGGUAGGGAUACCCGCUGAACUUAAGCAUAUCAAUAAAGCGGAGGAA
rnacentral:rRNA from 1 species